rnacentral:misc_RNA from 1 species
GAUGAAGAACGUAGCGAAAUGCGAUAACUAAUGUGAAUUGCAGUAUUCAGUGAAUCAUCGAGUCUUUGAACGCACAUUGCGCCCCCUGGUAUUCCGGGGGGCAUGCCUGUCCGAGCGUCAUUGCUGCCCUCAAGCACGGCUUGUGUGUUGGGCUCCGUCCCCCCGGGGACGGGCCCGAAAGGCAGCGGCGGCACCGAGUCCGGUCCUCGAGCGUAUGGGGCUUUGUCACCCGCUCUGUAGGCCCGGCCGGCGCCAGCCGACAACCCAUCAUCCUUUUCAGGUUGACCUCGGAUCAGGUAGGGAUACCCGCUGAACUUAAGCAUAUCAAUAAGCGGAGGA